rnacentral:rRNA from 1 species
UACGUAGGGUGCAAGCGUUAUUCGGAAUUACUGGGCGUAAAGCGUGCGCAGGCGGUUUUGUAAGGCUGAUGUGAAAUCCCCGGGCUCAACCUGGGAAUUGCAUUGGAGACUGCAAGGCUAGAAUCUGGCAGAGGGGGGUAGAAUUCCACGUGUAGCAGUGAAAUGCGUAGAGAUGUGGAGGAACACCGAUGGCGAAGGCAGCCCCCUGGGUCAAGAUUGACGCUCAUGCACGAAAGCGUGGGGCGCAAACAGG